rnacentral:rRNA from 1 species
ACCUACGGGGGGCAGCAGUGAGGAAUAUUGGUCAAUGGGCUUACGCCUGAACCAGCCAAGUCGCGUGAGGGAAGACUGCCCUAUGGGUUGUAAACCUCUUUUGUCAGGGAGCAACGCCGACUACGUGUAGCCGGACUGAGAGUACCUGAAGAAAAAGCAUCGGCUAACUCCGUGCCAGCAGCCGCGGUAAUACGGAGGAUGCGAGCGUUAUCCGGAUUUAUUGGGUUUAAAGGGUGCGUAGGCGGAAUGCCAAGUCAGCGGUAAAAUCGCGGGGCUCAACCUCGCUCCGCCGUUGAAACUGGCGU